rnacentral:rRNA from 1 species
UUGACCUCGGAUCAGGUAGGGAUACCCGCUGAACUUAAGCAUAUCAAUAAGCGGAGGAACAUUACUGAGUGAGGGCCCUCUGGGUCCAACCUCCCACCCGUGUUUAUUGUACCUUGUUGCUUCGGUGCGCCCGCCUCACGGCCGCGGGGGGGGCUUCUGCCCGGGGUCCCCCGGCAGAAACACAGAAAAAAGUUGUGUUAAAAAAUUGACGCCUGAACAUAAACUAAAUAAGUUUAAAAUUUCAACACCGGGUCUUUUGGGUUCCGGCAUCGAUGAAGAACGCAGCG